rnacentral:rRNA from 1 species
UCCGCAAGUAGCGUGGCAGACGGGUGAGUAACGCGUGGGUAACCUGCCCGCGGGUGGGGGAUAACCCUCCGAAAGGGGGGCUAAUACCGCAUAACAUCCCGCCCUCUUCGGAGGACGGGAUCAAAGCUAGCCUCUGCUUCGGCAUGCUGGCGCCUGCGGAGGGGCCCGCGUCCCAUUAGCUAGUUGGUGAGGUAACGGCUCACCAAGGCGACGAUGGGUAGCCGGCCUGAGAGGGUGUCCGGCCACACUGGAACUGAGACACGGUCCAGGCUCCUACGGGAGGCAGCAGUGAGGAAUCUUGCGCAAUGGGCGAAAGCCUGACGCAGCGACGCCGCGUGGAGGAUGAAGGCCUUCGGGUCGUAAACUCCUGUCGGGAGGGACGAAGGCCUCGAGGGUGAACAGCCCUCGGGGUUGACGGUACCUCCAAAGGAAGCCCCGGCUAACUCCGUGCCCGCAGCCGCGGUAAUACGG